rnacentral:misc_RNA from 1 species
CGCACAUUGCGCCCUUUGGUAUUCCGAAGGGCACGCCUGUUCGAGCGUCAUUUCAACACUCAAGCACCGCUUGGUAUUGGGCGCGGUCCCUAGGGACCCGCCUGCAACUGGUUGGCGGUACUGUCCGGCUCCGAGCGUAGCAAGAAUCUUCCCUCGCUCGGGAGGCUGCGGCGGCGCCUGCCCCUCAACCACUUUCAAAGUUUGACCUCGGAUCAGGUGGGGAUACCCGCUGAACUUAA